GACGAACGCUGGCGGCGUGCUUAACACAUGCAAGUCGAACGGAAAGGCCCUGCUUUUGUGGGGUGCUCGAGUGGCGAACGGGUGAGUAACACGUGAGUAACCUGCCCUUGACUUUGGGAUAACUUCAGGAAACUGGGGCUAAUACCGGAUAGGAGCUCCUGCUGCAUGGUGGGGGUUGGAAAGUUUCGGCGGUUGGGGAUGGACUCGCGGCUUAUCAGCUUGUUGGUGGGGUAGUGGCUUACCAAGGCUUUGACGGGUAGCCGGCCUGAGAGGGUGACCGGCCACAUUGGGACUGAGAUACGGCCCAGACUCCUACGGGAGGCAGUAGUGGGGAAUAUUGCACAAUGGGCGGAAGCCUGAUGCAGCAACGCCGCGUGCGGGAUGACGGCCUUCGGGUUGCAAACCGCUUUCGCCUGUGACGAAGCGUGAGUGACGGUAAUGGGUAAAGAAGCACCGGCUAACUACGUG
rnacentral:rRNA from 1 species